UCCAAUUAAAGUAUUUACAGUCCGAGUCACUUGAAUAGCCUCACCCCCAAAAUUAAUAUAAAUUCUGUUGUAUAUUCAAUGUUGCCUGUUUUACUUCAUAAGUAAACUUAAUUAGCGUCGUACUAUAGCUUAAUCAUAAAAA